UAACCUGCCUUAUAGUGGGGGAUAGCCUUUCGAAAGGAAGAUUAAUACCGCAUAAGAUUGUAGUAUCGCAUGAUAUAGCAAUUAAAGGAGCAAUUCGCUAUAAGAUGGACCCGCGUCGCAUUAGCUAGUUGGUGAGGUAAUGGCUCACCAAGGCGACGAUGCGUAGCUGACCUGAGAGGGUGAUCGGCCACAUUGGGACUGAGACACGGCCCAGACUCCUACGGGAGACAGCAUG
rnacentral:rRNA from 1 species